GAUGAAGAACGCAGCGAAAUGCGAUACGUAAUGUGAAUUGCAGAAUUCAGUGAAUCAUCGAAUCUUUGAACGCAUAUUGCGCUCUCUGGUAUUCCGGAGAGCAUGCUUGUUUGAGUAUCAGUAAACACCUCAACUUCCAUAUCUUUUUUGAAAUGGGAGUUGGACUUGAGUGAUCCCAACGCUUUUCCUCACCGAAAAGUGGCGGGUUACUUGAAAUGCAGGUGCAGCUGGACUUUUCUCUGAGCUAUAAGCAUAUCUAUUUAGUCUGCCUAAAAAACAGAUUAUUACCUUUGCUGCAGCUAACAUAAAGGAGAUUAGUUCUUGUGCUGACUGAUGCAGGAUUCACAAAGACAGGCUUCGGCCGACUUUUUAAACUCGAUCUCAAAUCAAGUAAGACUACCCGCUGAACUUAAGCAUAUCAAUAACGGAGGA
rnacentral:misc_RNA from 1 species